CCCGCUGAACUUAAGCAUAUCAAUAAGCGGAGGAAAAGAAACUAACAAGGAUUCCCCUAGUAACUGCGAGUGAAGCGGGAAAAGCUCAAAUUUAAAAUCUGGCGGUUCUGCCGUCCGAGUUGUAAUUUAGAGAAGCGUUAUCCACGCUAGACCGUACACAAGUCUCCUGGAAUGGAGCGUCAUAGAGGGUGAGAAUCCCGUCUUUGGUACGGACUGCUAGGGUAUUGUGAUACGCUCUCAAAGAGUCGAGUUGUUUGGGAAUGCAGCUCAAAAUGGGUGGUAAAUUCCAUCUAAAGCUAAAUACAGAGGAGAGACCGAUAGCGAACAAGUACCGUGAGGGAAAGAUGAAAAGAACUUUGGAAAGAGAGUUAAACAGUACGUGAAGUUGCUGAAAGGGAAACGCUUGAAGUCAGUCGCGUUUGGCGGGACUCAGCCUUGCUUUUGCUUGGUGUACUUCCUGUCAGAUGGGUCAACAUCAGUUUUGACCGGUGGAUAAGGGCUUGGAGAAUGUGGCAUCUUCGGGUGUGUUAUAGCUUCAGGUCGUAUACAUCGGUUGGGACUGAGGAACUCAGCACGCCGAAAGGCCGGGUACUUGUACCACGUUCGUGCUUAGGAUGUUGGCAUAAUGGCUUUAAUCGACCCGUCUUGAAACACGG
rnacentral:rRNA from 1 species